rnacentral:lncRNA from 1 species
GAACUCAACUGACGAAGGGCUCCCAUUGGCUGGCUCAGCUGCAGUGCUGCUGACCAUGUGUCCUAUCACCCAAUCAACUUCCCGCUCACACGCUGUCCGCGUGUUCCUCCAGCCAAUCACAAUCUCACUUCCAGCUGUCACUCAAGUGACUCUCCCCUCAGUCCUGCCAGCCUCGCCGCCUGCCCGCCGUGGGGCGCGCUGCUGCUCCUUCCCGCGAGGGCCUUAACCACUUUAACAAAUACAACCAGAUCUUCUACAGGACCCCAGUGCCCAUCUACUGUCCAGGCUGGGGUCUCUGCAGGAGCAGUGCUCCGGAUGUACUCCAGCAUCAGCCAGCCAGCCAGCAGAGCUUGCAGAGUGUGAGUUCAUUUCAUGGGACAGUGAGGAGUACCCACCUGCACCCCCUGAGUCACCUGCACCUGUCAUGCCCUGAGUGCACGCCUGCAUCUGCCCUGCACAGCUGAGCUGCAGGGCUGUGCCUCACAGGGCUGGGACUCCUUUGCUGGGUGAUGUGACUUUUCCCUACAAUGAGCUCAAUCUCUACAAGACAGCCCAGGAAGGCAAUUUGCUCUUUAAAUGACCCCAAUGUACAUUGGGUGUAUUGAAGAAAAAAGCCAUUUCCUAGUGACUAAAUCUCAUUAAAAAAGCAAUUUUCCAAUCAAUUACAGUGCAAUUUAGCUGCUAACUGUUUAAUUAUCAAAAAAGAAGCUAUUUUGUACUUUGUUCCUGUAUUUAUGAACCAUGCUUUAUAAUUUCAUCUUCAGAGUUUUGAAUGGAGGAAUGUGACUAUUCUAUUGAUGCAAUUAUUGUAAAAUUACAACUUUCACUUCAAUGUAUUGUAUUAGUUCAAGGAAAUAUUUUUUGCACAGAAGCUUUUGAAAUAGGAGAAUCAUUGAUUUCUAGAAGAGCUUGAAUCUUUAUUGUUAUUUUUCAUGCACUACAAAAUUGCAUCAUCUUAUGUGGAUUUUAUUAGAGGAGCAUUGGGAUUAUUUUGUUUGUUUGUUUACUUUUAUUUUCUUAAUCUUGUGUAAGAAUUUCAGUCCUGGAAACAUGCUGAAACUAGAGAAAGGUUCCUCUUGAAAAAAGAACUUGUGUCUCUGGAGAGACCGAAAAGGGACAUUGCAGGGGUGGUUUGUG